UACAGAGGGGGCAAGCGUUGUUCGGAAUUACUGGGCGUAAAGGGCGCGUAGGCGGCCUGUUAAGUCGAACGUGAAAUCCCCGGGCUCAACCCGGGAACUGCGUCCGAUACUGGCAGGCUUGAAUCCGGGAGAGGGAUGCGGAAUUCCAGGUGUAGCGGUGAAAUGCGUAGAUAUCUGGAGGAACACCGGUGGCGAAGGCGGCUCACUGGCCCGAUACUGACGCUGAGGCACGAAAGCGUGGGGAGCAAACAGG
rnacentral:rRNA from 1 species